AGCUGUGUUUUUUUUUUCAAGUGCCACUCCUCUUUAUUUUGAGUUUUGUUUUGGUUUUUAAACUUUUAUUUUUCUUCAGAAAGCAAGUUUCAUCUCACAGAUGGAGGAACAUGUCUGUUGACUGAAGAAAAGGCUGGUCUGCUCUCAUCUAUAGAUUGAAACUCUCAGAGAAAAUCUCAGAAGAGGAAAAAGAAGGCUCUGGUCUACCUCAUUAAUCCUCUGCAUUUCACAGGAUCAUGGCUUCAUCGGAUCCUGGUUCGGAGGAGGAGGAGGAGUUGGAACCGGGACUGUCUGACGAAGAGGGUACAAUCCCCUCCCAAUGAUGGGGAGGGCUGAGGACAAGGAGUCCCAGGGCCAUCUGGCAGUGGGGGAUGGGGGCACCCGACCAGACAGAGAGCUGCCUGAAGGAGUGGAGCACCUGCAGAAGGCCAGCAGAGAUGACAGGCUCCAGACUACCUCUAAUGAGGAACAGCUCCCUCCACCAUCUGAUCUGCGGGUGAGGAGAGCAGAGCAGAGAGAGGCACAGAGGAGGUCAACAAGGCUGUUUGCGAGGAAGCAUCUCCACUCCUCCUCACCUGGGGAAGGGUGAUUUAAUCACAUACUGGGAGAAGCUGUGUUUGUCCGGAACACCUGCUCAUUUUGAUGUGCACUUUCCCGGCUUCCCUGGAUUCUGUUCCUUGAACCUUGGACUAUGUUUUUCAACUCCGGUCCUCGAACUCUUGUGUACUUGGACUUGGCUCUUGGACUUCAUAGUCUUGGACUGUGUUUUGGUUGCUAGAAUUUUGGACUUGUUGAUAUUGUUACUUCCUUCUUUGCCUCAUAACUUGCCUAGGAUUAAGUUUGUGAAUCCAGACUGAGGGGAAACUGAGGGCUGGGGCGGAGCUUCACUGGCAUCAUUGUGGGUUGUUUGUCACUGUGAUAAGUGAGCAAUAAACAGACCCUACUUAACUCUGCUUUGCCCGUACUACUUGGGCCAGAACCCACAGUCUCUGAGUUACUCAGCAUUCCUCAAUUUAUUUUUGCAGUCCAGCGACUCAGUUCCUUAAAGUGUUUAAAGUUUUAUUUUCUGUUGCUGAAGGCUCCUUUGAACCUGAUGAUACAGUACAUUUUCCUCCUGUGUAUUGUUCUUGCUUUGAUUACCUAAGAUUGUAUAAACAGAGAGCACGCUUACUAGUA